rnacentral:rRNA from 1 species
ACUCCUACGGGAGGCAGCAGUGGGGAAUAUUGCACAAUGGGGGAAACCCUGAUGCAGCCAUGCCGCGUGUGUGAAGAAGGCCUUCGGGUUGUAAAGCACUUUCAGUAGGGAGGAAGGUAGUGUAGUUAACACCUGCACUAUUUGACGUUAACCUACAGAAGAAGCACCGGCUAACUCCGUGCCAGCAGCCGCGGUAAUACGGAGGGUGCGAGCGUUAAUCGGAAUUACUGGGCGUAAAGCGCAUGCAGGCGGCCUGUUAAGUCAGAUGUGAAAGCCCGGGGCUUAACCUCGGAAUUGCAUUUGAAACUGGCAGGCUAGAGCCUUGUAGAGGGGGUGAGAAUUAUCAGGUGUAGCGGUGAAAUGCGUAGAGAUCUGAAGG